AUCGCUUCUCGGCCUUUUGGCUAAGAUCAAGUGUAGACAGGAGAAAUUUCUUUUCUGGUCCAAUCCAUUUGGAGUUCUGUAGGUUUCUUGUGUCUAUUUGUAUCUCUUUCUUUAGGUUAGGGAAGUUUUC
ensembl:snRNA LOC120094964 U2 spliceosomal RNA